rnacentral:rRNA from 1 species
AUUGAACGCUGGCGGCAGGCCUAACACAUGCAAGUCGAGCGGAUGAAGGGAGCUUGCUCCUGGAUUCAGCGGCGGACGGGUGAGUAAUGCCUAGGAAUCUGCCUGGUAGUGGGGGAUAACGUCCGGAAACGGGCGCUAAUACCGCAUACGUCCUGAGGGAGAAAGGGGGGGAGCUUCGGACCUCACGCUAUCAGAUGAGCCUAGGUCGGAUUAGCUAGUUGGUGGGGUAAAGGCCUACCAAGACGACGAUCCGUAACUGGUCUGAGAGGAUGAGCAGUCACACUGGAACUGAGACACGGUCCAGACUCCUACGGGAGGCAGCAGUGGGGAAUAUUGGACAAUGGGCGAAAGCCUGAUCCAGCCAUGCCGCGUGUGUGAAGAAGGUCUUCGGAUUGUAAAGCACUUUAAGUUGGGAGGAAGGGCAGUAAGUUAAUACCUUGCUGUUUUGACGUUACCAACAGAAUAAGCACCGGCUAACUUCGUG